GCUCCAAUCGUCUAACGGUUAGGACAGUCGCACUCAGCCCUCACGGGCUACAAAUCGCGACGAUCGGUGUUCGAAUCACCGUUGGGGCC